CCUACGGGAGGCAGCAGUGGGGAAUUUUGGACAAUGGGCGCAAGCCUGAUCCAGCAAUGCCGCGUGAGUGAAGAAGGCCUUCGGGUUGUAAAGCUCUUUUGUCAGGGAAGAAACGGCUGAGGUUAAUACCUUUGGCUAAUGACGGUACCUGAAGAAUAAGCACCGGCUAACUACGUGCCAGCAGCCGCGGUAAUACGUAGGGUGCAAGCGUUAAUCGGAAUUACUGGGCGUAAAGCGUGCGCAGGCGGUUUUGUAAGUCUGUCGUGAAAGCCCCGGGCUCAACCUGGGAAUUGCGAUGGAGACUGCAAGGCUUGAAUCUGGCAGAGGGGGGUAGAAUUCCACGUGUAGCAGUGAAAUGCGUAGAGAUGUGGAGGAACACCGAUGGCGAAGGCAGCCCCCUGGGUCAAGAUUGACGCUCAUGCACGAAAGCGUGGGGAGCAAACAGGAUUAGAUACCCUGGUAGUCCACGCCCUAAACGAUGUCUACUAGUUGUCGGGUUUUAAUUAACUUGGUAACGCAGCUAACGCGUGAAGUAGACCGCCUGGGGAGUACGGUCGCAAGNUUAAAACUCAAAGGAUUGACGGNNGAGAGNGCGAGACGACGACGAGGGAGGAGG
rnacentral:rRNA from 1 species